GAUCAUGGCUAGGAUGAACGCUAGCUACAGGCUUAACACAUGCAAGUCGAGGGGAAACGACAUCGAAAGCUUGCUUUUGAUGGGCGUCGACCGGCGCACGGGUGAGUAACGCGUAUCCAACCUGCCCACCACUUGGGGAUAACCGUUGCGAAAGUAAGACUAAUACCCAAUGAUAUCUCUAGAAGACAUCGUGAAAGGGAUUUAAAGAUUUAUCGGUGAUGGAUGGGGAUGCGUCUGAUUAG
rnacentral:rRNA from 1 species